rnacentral:rRNA from 1 species
UACGAAGGGGACUAGCGUUGUUCGGAUUUACUGGGCGUAAAGCGCGCGUAGGCGGAUCACUAAGUCAGGGGUGAAAUCCCGAGGCUUAACCUCGGAACUGCCUUUGAUACUGGAGAUCUGGAGAUCGGGAGAGGUUGGUGGAAUUCCGAGUGUAGAGGUGAAAUUCGUAGAUAUUCGCAAGAACACCAGUGGCGAAGGCGGCUCACUGGCCCGGUACUGACGCUGAGGUGCGAAAGCGUGGGGAGCAAACAGG